AGCUGACCACCAGUGGAGAAGGAUGUCUUCUGGAGAUUCAUUCUGCUGGAGUUUCAUAAGCAAGUCCAGGAUAUGGUUAUUACUGCAUAAAAGCUGAAUCGCUUCUAUGAACUUCAGUGUUGCCUUCUACCGAGGACAGUGUUGUAUCACCAAUCUGCAGCACCAGCAAAUGGGAGAAUUUCACCACUUCCCGGGCUGAAAACACAUACGAUAACAAAGCAGUCCAAAAGAUACCACAAUAUCUGAAGAGAAAAAUCUAGUUGCUGGGCUAGCAACAUGCAGUCUGUGAAUGGCACAGCCACGUGUGUGCACUAUGAGAUGCGACUUGGGAACACAGUAACAACUCUGUCAAAAAGGAAACAUGAAUGGCAAAGCGGCUUUUUGCAACACUCCACUGGAGCUUUGGCAACACUGCGAGAGAUGGAGGUGAGGCUAAAUAAGUGAGCCUGCGGGUCAUUCACCCUUAUACAGAAAGAGCAAAGGGACCGUGAACUGCCGCUGAGGUUAGCAGCACCAUUAGGAAGGGCUGUGCGAGGCGCGUGCCCCCGACCUCCCAAGUGGCAGCGCUGAGGGAUGCAGAGCAGCGGCUCGCUUGCUCUCGCCUCAGAACGUUUGGCAAAGGCAGGGAGCGAAACGCAACCGCAGCUUCAUAUCAGCCCUACAGCUGCUUCAUGGAGGUCGGUCCUCCAGCACAAGGCAGAGCAGCAGGAAGAUACCAAAUGCCAACAGCCCAGGGCUAUGGCAGCUUGUCUACGAGUGCAGAAAUUACCCAGGUACUCUUCCAGUCUUCCCAUCCUCACAAGUGCCUCCAAAUGCAGAGCCAUUAGCCUAAAAGCUUUCCACUACCUAAUAAAUAUUUCAAUUGUUUAUCUACGCUAAUCUAUUUUAAGGGUUCAUAUUAACUAACCUAUAUUUUGGCACUAGAGCAAAGCAAAAAGCUUUCAGAAAUUGCCUGUGAACAGUGUUGGUGAAAAAUAAAUUUGCCAAUGGCUUUGGCAAUACAAUGCCAAAUGAGAGAUUAGGCUAAAUAGGGGAGGCAUAAGUGAAAGAUGAACUGAGAUGGGCAAGGAGAGAACCACAGUAGGACUGUUCAUUCGGUGCUCAUCACCUUAACGUGGGAAAAACAAACAAGGAUUCACAGGGCAGGCACCCAAAGACCCCGAGAGACCUAAAACACAGAGAAGAUGGAAAAGCUUUACAUAAGAUCUACAAAUAUUUGAAGGGUGUGAAGACAGGAAUUUUGCGGGUUCAAAUAAAGAGAAAAAUCUAAACAGCAGGAAUAAAUU